CAGCCGCCGCGGUAAAACGUAGGUCCCGAGCGUUGUCCGGAUUUAUUGGGCGUAAAGCGAGCGCAGGCGGUUGGAUAAGUCUGAAGUUAAAGGCUGUGGCUUAACCAUAGUACGCUUUGGAAACUGUUUAACUUGAGUGCAAGAGGGGAGAGUGGAAUUCCAUGUGUAGCGGUGAAAUGCGUAGAUAUAUGGAGGAACACCGGUGGCGAAAGCGGCUCUCUGGCUUGUAACUGACGCUGAGGCUCGAAAGCGUGGGGAGCAAACAGGAUUAGAUACCCGCGUAGUCCCUGUCUCUUAUCAC
rnacentral:rRNA from 1 species